AAAUGCGAUAAGUAGUGUGAAUUGCAGAAUUCAGUGAAUCAUUGAAUCUUUGAACGCACAUUGCGCCCCUUGGUAUUCCAUGGGGCAUGCCUGUUCGAGCGUCAUUUGUACCCUCAAGCUCUGCUUGGUGUUGGGUGUUUGUCCCCGUCUCCGCGCGUGGACUCGCCCCAAAGUGAUUGGCAGCCGGCGUACUGGUCCCGGAGCGCGGCACAUGUCGCGCAAACGAGUGCCUUGGUACGGCGGCGUCCAUAAGCCCCUCUCUCACGCUCUUGACCUCGGAUCAGGUAGGGAUACCCGCUGAACUUAAGC
rnacentral:misc_RNA from 1 species